GAUGAACGCUAGCGGCAGGCCUAACACAUGCAAGUCGAGGGGUAGUUAUCUUCGGAUAAUGAGACCGGCGCACGGGUGCGUAACGCGUAUGCAAUCUACCUUGUACAGAGAGAUAGCCCAGAGAAAUUUGGAUUAAUACCUCAUAGUAUAUUUUUAUCGCAUGAUUUAAAUAUUAAAGAUUUAUCGGUACAAGAUGAGCAUGCGUCCCAUUAGUUAGUUGGUAAGGUAACGGCUUACCAAGACAAUGAUGGGUAGGGGUCCUGAGAGGGAGAUCCCCCACACUGGUACUGAGACACGGACCAG
rnacentral:rRNA from 1 species